rnacentral:rRNA from 1 species
GAUGAACGCUGGCGGCGUGCCUAACACAUGCAAGUCGAGCGGGAUUCAUGAGGACGAAACUUCGGUCUAGAAAUCAUGAUGAGGGCGGCGGACGGGUGAGUAACGCGUAGGCAACCUGCCCUUAGCACAGGGAUAGCCUCGGGAAACCGGGAUUAAAACCUGAUAAUGCCAAACAGUCACAUGGCUGUUUGGCCAAAGAUUUAUCGGCUGAGGAUGGGCCUGCGUCUGAUUAGUUAGUUGGUGGGGUAACGGCCUACCAAGACGACGAUCAGUAGCCGACCUGAGAGGGUGAUCGGCCACAUUGGAACUGAGACACGGUCCAAACUCCUACGGGAGGCAGCAGUGGGGAAUAUUGCACAAUGGGCGAAAGCCUGAUGCAGCAACGCCGCGUGAGCGAUGAAGGCCUUUGGGUCGUAAAGCUCUGUCCUAGGGGACGAACACAAUGACGGUACCCUUGGAGGAAGCCCCGGCUAACUACGUGCCAGCCGCCGCCGUAAUAC